UGAGAGGUUGUCAGGCUAGCCCUUAAUGAGGUAGAUUACUCUGCUGUACUAUACUCCAAGGCUGAGUGCUACACAGGAAGAACGAUGGGGACCACUGACAGGGAACGCUCCCUUCACUCUCUCUUCUUACAUGGGAGUUUGAUUCUUACAUGGGAGACCACAGGGGACUGCCAAUGCUGCUUCUGAUCAUUGGAAACAUAGGCUACUCAGUGUGCACACUUCAACCAUCAGAGACAGGUACAUCACAUAGGAGAUGGUAGACAGUGUAGAAUCACAGACAGGCACAUCACAUAGGAGAUGGUAGACAGUGUAGAAUCAGAGACAGGUACAUCACAUAGGAGAUGGUGGACAGUGUAGAAUCACAGACAGGUACAUCACAUAGGAGAUGGUAGACAGUGUAGAAUCACAGACAGGUACAUCACAUAGGAGAUGGUAGACAGUGUAGAAUCACAGACAGGUAUAUCACAUAGGAGAUGGUAGACAGUGUAGAAUCACAGACAGGUACAUCACAUAGGAGAUGGUAGACAGUGUAGAAUCACAGACAGGUACAUCACAUAGGAGAUGGUAGACAGUGUAGAAUCACAGACAGGUACAUCACAUAGGAGAUGGUAGACAGUGUAGAAUCACAGACAGGUACAUCACAUAGGAGAUGGUAGACAGUGUAGAAUCACAGACAGGUACAUCACAUGGGAGAUGGUAGACAGUGUAGAAUCACAGACAGGUACAUCACAUAGGAGAUGGUAGACAGUGUAGAAUCAGAGACAGGUACAUCACAUAGGAGAUGGUAGACAGUGUAGAAUCAGAGACAGGUACAUCACAUAGGAGAUGGUAGACAGUGUAGAAUCACAGACAGGUACAUCACAUAGGAGAUGGUAGACAGUGUAGAAUCACAGACAGGUACAUCACAUAGGAGAUGGUAGACAGUGUAGAAUCACAGACAGGUACAUCACAUGGGAGAUGGUAGACAGUGUAGAAUCACAGACAGGUACAUCACAUAGGAGAUGGUAGACAGUGUAGAAUCAGAGACAGGUACAUCACAUAGGAGAUGGUAGACAGUGUAGAAUCAGAGACAGGUACAUCACAUAGGAGAUGGUAGACAGUGUAGAAUCACAGACAGGUACAUCACAUAGGAGAUGGUAGACAGUGUAGAAUCACAGACAGGUACAUCACAUAGGAGAUGAUAGACAGUGUAGAAUCACAGACAGGUACAUCACAUAGGAGAUGGUAGACAGUGUAGAAUCACAGACAGGUACAUCACAUAGGAGAUGGUAGACAGUGUAGAAUCACAGACAGGUACAUCACAUGGGAGAUGGUAGACAGUGUAGAAUCACAGACAGGUACAUCACAUAGGAGAUGGUAGACAGUGUAGAAUCAGAGACAGGUACAUCACAUAGGAGAUGGUAGACAGUGUAGAAUCAGAGACAGGUACAUCACAUAGGAGAUGGUAGACAG